AACGAACGCUGGCGGCAGGCCUAACACAUGCAAGUCGAGCGAGCAUUUCGGUGCUAGCGGCGGACGGGUGAGUAACGCGUGGGAACGUGCCCUUUUCUGCGGAAUAGUCCUGGGAAACUGGGGGUAAUACCGCAUACGCCCUUUUGGGGAAAGAUUUAUCGGAGAAGGAUCGGCCCGCGUUGGAUUAGGUAGUUGGUGGGGUAAUGGCCCACCAAGCCGACGAUCCAUAGCUGGUUUGAGAGGAUGAUCAGCCACACUGGGACUGAGACACGGCCCAGACUCCUACGGGAGGCAGCAGUGGGGGAUCUUAGACAAUGGGGGCAACCCUGAUCUAGCCAUGCCGCGUGAGUGAUGAAGGCCUUAGGGUUGUAAAGCUCUUUCAGCUGGGAAGAUAAUGACGGUACCAGCAGAAGAAGCCCCGGCUAACUCCGUG
rnacentral:rRNA from 1 species